CUGAGUUAUACAACUCCAACCCAUGUGAACUAUACCACUGUUGCCUCGGCGGGGGGACGCCUACCCGGUACCUACCCUGUAGGCCAGCCCCGCCGGCGGAUUUUCAGACUCUUGUUUCUUUGUGACACAUCUGAGUAACAUUUUAAAUAAGUCA
rnacentral:misc_RNA from 1 species